CCUACGGGAGGCAGCAGUGGGGAAUAUUGCACAAUGGGGGAAACCCUGAUGCAGCGACGCCGCGUGAGUGAAGAAGUAAUUCGUUAUGUAAAGCUCUAUCAGCAGGGAAGCAAAUGACGGUACUUGAGUAAGAAGCCCCGGCUAACUACGUGCCAGCAACCGCGGUACUACGUAGGGGGGCAGCGUUAUCCGGAUUUACUGGGUGUAAAGGGAGCGUAGACGGCAGUGCAAGUCUGGAGUGAAAGGCGGGGGCUCAACCCCCGGACUGCUCUGGAAACUGUACGGCUGGAGUGCAGGAGAGGUAAGGGGAAUUCCUGGUGUAGCGGUGAAAUGCGUAGAUAUUAGGAGGAACACCAGUGGCGAAGGCGGCUUACUGGACUGUAACUGACGUUGAGGCUCGAAAGCGUGGGGAGCAAACAGGAUUAGAUACCCUAGUAGUC
rnacentral:rRNA from 1 species